rnacentral:rRNA from 1 species
AGUGAACGCUGGCGGUAGGCCUAACACAUGCAAGUCGAACGGCAGCACAGUGAGAGCUUGCUCUUACGGGUGGCGAGUGGCGGACGGGUGAGGAAUACAUCGGAAUCUACUUUUUCGUGGGGGAUAACGUAGGGAAACUUACGCUAAUACCGCAUACGACCUACGGGCGAAAGCAGGGGAUCUUCGGACCUUGCGCGAUUGAAUGAGCCGAUGUCGGAUUAGCUAGUUGGCGGGGUAAAGGCCCACCAAGGCGACGAUCCGUAGCUGGUCUGAGAGGAUGAUCAGCCACACUGGAACUGAGACACGGUCCAGACUCCUACGGGAGGCAGCAGUGGGGAAUAUUGGACAAUGGGCGCAAGCCUGAUCCAGCCAUACCGCGUGGGUGAAGAAGGCCUUCGGGUUGUAAAGCCCUUUUGUUGGGAAAGAAAAGCAGCAGGUUAAUACCCCGCUGUUCUGACGGUACCCAAAGAAUAAGCACCGGCUAACUCCGUG